rnacentral:rRNA from 1 species
UUGGAGGGCAAGUCUGGUGCCAGCAGCCGCGGUAAUUCCAGCUCCAAUAGCGUAUAUUAAAGUUGUUGCAGUUAAAAAGCUCGUAGUUGAAUUUCGGGGUUCUACCGUCGGUCGGGCUACCAAGUCUGUACUGGUGUGUAGAAUUCCUACCUUCUGGGGAACCAUCAUGUUAUUAAUUUAGCGUGGUGGGAAACCAGGACCUUUACCUUGAAAAAAUUAGAGUGUUCAAAGCAGGCUUAUGUCUGAAUACAUUAGCAUGGAAUAAUAGAAUAGGACGGUGGUCCUGUUUUGUUGGUUUCUGAAUCACCGUAAUGAUUAAUAGGGAUAGUUGGGGGCAUUAGUAUUCAAUUGUCAGAGGUGAAAUUCUUGGAUUUAUUGAAGACUAACUUCUGCGAAAGCAUUUGCCAAGGAUGUUUUCAUUAAUCAAGAACGAAAGUUAGGGGAUCGAAGACGAUCAGAUACCGUCGUAGUCUUAACCAUAAACUAUGCCGACUAGGGAUCGGACGAUGUUAAAUUUUAUUGACUCGUUCGGCGCCUUACGGGAAAC